rnacentral:rRNA from 1 species
GUUAUAUGGUCAAGCGAAUAAGCGCACACGGUGGAUGCCUAGGCGGUCAGAGGCGAUGAAGGACGUGGUAGCCUGCGAAAAGUGUCGGGGAGCUGGCAACAAGCUUUGAUCCGGCAAUAUCCGAAUGGGGAAACCCACUGCUUCGGCAGUAUCCUGCAGUGAAUUCAUAGCUGCUGGAAGCGAACCCGGUGAACUGAAAUAUCUAAGUAACCGGAGGAAAAGAAAUCAACCGAGAUUCCCUAAGUAGUGACGAGCGAACGGGGAGCAGCCCUUAAGCUGGAAUGGCUUUAGAAAAACAAUCUGGAAAGAUUGGCCAUAGAAGGUGAUAGCCCUGUAUUUAAAAGGGCCACUCCAGUGAAGACGAGUAGGGCGGGGCACGUGAAACCCUGUCUGAAUAUGGGGGGACCAUCCUCCAAGGCUAAAUACUCCUGACCGACCGAUAGUGAACCAGUACCGUGAGGGAAAGGCGAAAAGAACCCCGGAGAGGGGAGUGAAAUAGAUCCUGAAACCGUGUGCGUACAAGCAGUAGGAGCUCGCAAGAGUGACUGCGUACCUUUUGUAUAAUGGGUCAGCGACUUACUGUUCGUGGCAAGCUUAACCGUAUAGGGGAGGCGAAGGGAAACCGAGUCUGAUAAGGGCGCAUAGUCGCGGGCAGUAGACCCGAAACCGGGUGAUCUAGUCAUGGCCAGGGUGAAGGUGCCGUAACAGGUACUGGAGGCCCGAACCCACGUCUGUUGCAAAAGACGGGGAUGAGCUGUGAUUAGGAGUGAAAAGCUAAUCGAACCCGGAGAUAGCUGGUUCUCCUCGAAAGCUAUUUAGGUAGCGCCUCAUAUGUAUCCUCUCGGGGGUAGAGCACUGUUAUGGCUAGGGGGUCAUCGCGACUUACCAAACCAUUGCAAACUCCGAAUACCGAGACGGACUGUAUGGGAGACACACGGCGGGUGCUAACGUCCGUCGUGAAAAGGGAAACAACCCAGACCCACAGCUAAGGUCCCAAAUUCACUGCUAAGUGGAAAACGAUGUGGAAAGGCAUAGACAGCCAGGAGGUUGGCUUAGAAGCAGCCACCCUUUAAAGAAAGCGUAAUAGCUCACUGGUCGAGUCGGUCUGCGCGGAAGAUUUAACGGGGCUAAGCAGUGAACCGAAGCUUGGGGUGCAUAAAACUUGUUUUAUGCGCGGUAGAGGAGCGUUCCGUAAGCCUGCGAAGGUGGAUUGAGAAGUCUGCUGGAGGUAUCGGAAGUGCGAAUGCUGACAUGAGUAACGAUAAUGCGGGUGAAAAGCCCGCACGCCGAAAGCCCAAGGUUUCCUUGCGCAACGUUAAUCGACGCAGGGUUAGUCGGUCCCUAAGGCGAGGGCGAAAGCCGUAGUCGAUGGGAAGCAGGUUAAUAUUCCUGCACCUCGCGUGAGUGCGAUGGAGGGACGGAGAAGGUUAGGUGUACCGGGCGUUGGUUGUCCCGGGGAAAGGCGGUAGGUUUGGAUCUUUGGCAAAUCCGGGAUCCUUUAAGACCGAGCACCGAGACGAGCCUUUAUGGCGAAGUCACUGAUACCACGCUUCCAGGAAAAGCUCCUAAGCUUCAGCUCACGAAGACCGUACCGUAAACCGACACAGGUGGGUAGGAUGAGAAUUCUCAGGCGCUUGAGAGAACUCGGGUGAAGGAACUAGGCAACAUGGCACCGUAACUUCGGGAGAAGGUGCACCCUUUUUGGUGGCUCGUGCGAGCUAUAGCUGAAGAGGGUCGCAGAAACCAGGCCGCUGCGACUGUUUAUCAAAAACACAGCACUCUGCAAACACGAAAGUGGACGUAUAGGGUGUGACGCCUGCCCGGUGCUGGAAGGUUAAUUGAUGGGGUCAGCCGCAAGGCGAAGCUCUUGAUCGAAGCCCCAGUAAACGGCGGCCGUAACUAUAACGGUCCUAAGGUAGCGAAAUUCCUUGUCGGGUAAGUUCCGACCUGCACGAAUGGCGUAACGACAGCGGCGCUGUCUCCACCCGAGACUCAGUGAAAUUGAAAUCGCUGUGAAGAUGCAGCGUUCCCGUGGCAAGACGGAAAGACCCCGUGAACCUUUACUAUAGCUUUACACUGAACGUUGAGUUCGUCUGUGUAGGAUAGGUGGGAGGCUAUGAAACUGUGGCGCUAGCUGCAGUGGAGCCAUCCUUGAAAUACCACCCUGUCGUGCUUGACGUUCUAACCUAGGUCCGUUAUCCGGAUCAGGGACCGUGUAUGGUGGGUAGUUUGACUGGGGCGGUCUCCUCCUAAAGAGUAACGGAGGAGCACGAAGGUACGCUCAGCGCGGUCGGACAUCGCGCACUGUGUGCAAAGGCAUAAGCGUGCUUGACUGCAAGAUCGACGGAUCAAGCAGGUACGAAAGUAGGUCUUAGUGAUCCGGUGGUUCUGUAUGGAAGGGCCAUCGCUCAACGGAUAAAAGGUACUCCGGGGAUAACAGGCUGAUACCGCCCAAGAGUUCAUAUCGACGGCGGUGUUUGGCACCUCGAUGUCGGCUCAUCACAUCCUGGGGCUGUAGUCGGUCCCAAGGGUAUGGCUGUUCGCCAUUUAAAGUGGUACGCGAGCUGGGUUCAGAACGU